rnacentral:rRNA from 1 species
UAGGGAAUCUUCGGCAAUGGGGGGAACCCUGACCGAGCAACGCCGCGUGAGUGAAGAAGGUUUUCGGAUCGUAAAGCUCUGUUGUUAAGAAAGAACGAGUGUGAGAAUGGAAAGUUCAUACUGUGACGGUACUUAACCAGAAAGGGACGGCUAACUACGUGCCAGCAGCCGCGGUAAUACGUAGGUCCCGAGCGUUGUCCGGAUUUAUUGGGCGUAAAGCGAGCGCAGGCGGUUAGAUAAGUCUGAAGUUAAAGGCAGUGGCUCAACCAUUGUAGGCUUUGGAAACUGUUUAACUUGAGUGCAGAAGGGGAGAGUGGAAUUCCAUGUGUAGCGGUGAAAUGCGUAGAUAUAUGGAGGAACACCGGUGGCGAAAGCGGCUCUCUGGUCUGUAACUGACGCUGAGGCUCGAAAGCGUGGGGAGCGAACAGG